CAAGGAAUUUUGCACAAUGGGCGCAAGCCUGAUGCAGCAACGUCGCGUGGAGGAUGACGGCCUUCGGGUUGUAAACUCCUUUUGGGGGGGACGAUAAUGACGGUACCCUCCGAAGAAGCUCCGGCUAACUCCGUGCCAGCAGCCGCGGUAAUACGGAGGGGGCAAGCGUUGUCCGGACUUACUGGGCGUAAAGGGUGCGUAGGCGGUCAGGAGCGUUCGCCCUGAAAGCACCGGGCUCAACCCGGUGAGGCGGGCGAAUACGACCCGACUGGAGGCUCAGAGAGGGUGGCGGAACUCCUGGUGUAGUGGUGAUAUGCGUAGAGAUCAGGAGGAACACCCGUGGCGCAAGCGGCCACCUGGCUGAGUACUGACGCUGAGGCACGAAAGCGUGGGGAGCGAACCGG
rnacentral:rRNA from 1 species